CUGGAGAGGUGGAAGAGCUGCUUCAUUCAACAUCAUCCCUAGCAGCACUGGUGCAGCCAAGGCUGUUGGAAAAGUGCUCCCACAACUUAACGGCAAAUUGACUGGAAUGGCCUUCAGAGUACCAACUGCUGAUGUCUCCGUUGUCGAUCUUACUGUAAGACUCGAGAAAGAAGCCUCCUAUGAAGACAUUAAGGCUGCAAUCAAGGAGGAAUCAGAGGGUAAAUUGAAGGGUAUCUUGGGAUACACUGAAGAUGAUGUGGUUUCC
rnacentral:misc_RNA from 1 species